rnacentral:rRNA from 1 species
CAGUAGCCGCGGGAAUACGGAGGGGGCUAGCGUUGUUCGGAAUUACUGGGCGUAAAGCGCACGUAGGCGGCGAUCUAAGUCAGGGGUGAAAGCCCGGGGCUCAACCCCGGAAUAGCCUUUGAGACUGGAUUGCUAGAAUCUGGGAGAGGUGAGUGGAAUUCCGAGUGUAGAGGUGAAAUUCGUAGAUAUUCGGAAGAACACCAGUGGCGAAGGCGGCUCACUGGACCAGUAUUGACGCUGAGGUGCGGAAGCGUGGGGAGCAAACAGGAUUAGAUACCCCGGUAGUCCCUGUCUCUUAUAC